ACAACAUGAUGGGAGUAUUUUCUAAUUAGUUCCUUUAAUCUCUCCCAAGUCUCAUGAAAUAUCUCCACAUCUAACUAGGAAAAACUAGUUAUGGCCUUUUUGAUUUG